rnacentral:rRNA from 1 species
CAUGCAAGGUCCGUCGACGCUUUUUCUUUCACCGGAGCUUGCUCCACCGAAAGAAAAGGAGUGGCGAACGGGUGAGUAACACGUGGGUAACCUGCCCAUCAGAAGGGGAUAACACUUGGAAACAGGUGCUAAUACCGUAUAACAAUCGAAACCGCAUGGUUUCGGUUUGAAAGGCGCUUUUGCGUCACUGAUGGAUGGACCCGCGGUGCAUUAGCUAGUUGGUGAGGUAACGGCUCACCAAGGCAACGAUGCAUAGCCGACCUGAGAGGGUGAUCGGCCACAUUGGGACUGAGACACGGCCCAAACUCCUACGGGAGGCAGCAGUAGGGAAUCUUCGGCAAUGGACGCAAGUCUGACCGAGCAACGCCGCGUGAGUGAAGAAGGUUUUCGGAUCGUAAAACUCUGUUGUUAGAGAAGAACAAGGAUGAGAGUAGAAUGUUCAUCCCUUGACGGUAUCUAACCAGAAAGCCACGGCUAACUACGUGCCAGCAGCCGCGGUAAUACGUAGGUGGCAAGCGUUGUCCGGAUUUAUUGGGCGUAAAGCGAGCGCAGGCGGUUUCUUAAGUCUGAUGUGAAAGCCCCCGGCUCAACCGGGGAGGGUCAUUGGAAACUGGGAAACUUGAGUGCAGAAGAGGAGAGUGGAAUUCCAUGUGUAGCGGUGAAAUGCGUAGAUAUAUGGAGGAACACCAGUGGCGAAGGCGGCUCUCUGGUCUGUAACUGACGCUGAGGCUCGAAAGCGUGGGGAGCAAACAGGAUUAGAUACCCUGGUAGUCCACGCCGUAAACGAUGAGUGCUAAGUGUUGGAGGGUUUCCGCCCUUCAGUGCUGCAGCUAACGCAUUAAGCACUCCGCCUGGGGAGUACGACCGCAAGGUUGAAAC